CCCUUAGAUGUUCUGGGCGGCCCGCGCACUACAAUGGCGCUUUCAGCGAGUUCCUAUGUUGAAUUUUCCUGGGUAUUCUUGGAAGCGGCGUCUUGACUUGGGAUAGAUCCUUGUAAUUGUUGGUUUUGAACGAGGAAUUCCUUGUAAUCGCGGUUGAUCAGCUCGCGUUGAAUACGUCCCUGCCCUUUGUACACACCGCCCGUCGCUCCUACCGAUGAAUCGUCCGGUGAAGUUCACAGAGUGGCGGUUCGUGGAGUUGCUCGCGAAGUGGAAUGGACCUCACGAUUUAGAGGAAGGAGAAGUCGUAACA
rnacentral:rRNA from 1 species